rnacentral:rRNA from 1 species
GUGGGGAAUAUUGGACAAUGGGCGCAAGCCUGAUCCAGCCAUGCCGCGUGAGUGAUGAAGGCCCUAGGGUUGUAAAGCUCUUUCACCGGAGAAGAUAAUGACGGUAUCCGGAGAAGAAGCCCCGGCUAACUUCGUGCCAGCAGCCGCGGUAAUACGAAGGGGGCUAGCGUUGUUCGGAAUUACUGGGCGUAAAGCGCACGUAGGCGGACAUUUAAGUCAGGGGUGAAAUCCCGGGGCUCAACCCCGGAACUGCCUUUGAUACUGGGUGUCUGGAGUAUGGAAGAGGUAAGUGGAAUUCCGAGUGUAGAGGUGAAAUUCGUAGAUAUUCGGAGGAACACCAGUGGCGAAGGCGGCUUACUGGUCCAUUACUGACGCUGAGGUGCGAAAGCGUGGGGAGCAAACAGGAUUAGAAACCCCAGUAGUCC